rnacentral:rRNA from 1 species
UACGGAGGGGGCUAGCGUUGUUCGGAAUUACUGGGCGUAAAGCGCGCGUAGGCGGCUUUGUAAGUCAGAGGUGAAAUCCCGGGGCUCAACCCCGGAACUGCCUUUGAAACUGCAUCGCUUGAAUGUCGGAGAGGUGAGUGGAAUUCCGAGUGUAGAGGUGAAAUUCGUAGAUAUUCGGAAGAACACCAGUGGCGAAGGCGGCUCACUGGACGACUAUUGACGCUGAGGUGCGAAAGCGUGGGGAGCAAACAGG